rnacentral:rRNA from 1 species
UUAGCCUACGGGGCGCAGCAGUAGGGAAUUUUCGUCAAUGGGCGCAAGCCUGAACGAGCGAUGCCGCGUGAGUGAAGAAGUCAUUCGUGAUGUAAAGCUCUAUCAGCAGGGAAGAAAAUGACGGUACCUGAGUAAGAAGCCCCGGCUAACUACGUGCCAGCAGCCGCGGUAAUACGUAGGGGGCAAGCGUUAUCCGGAUUUACUGGGUGUAAAGGGAGCGUAGACGGCCAGACAAGUCUGAAGUGAAAAUCCAGCGCUUAACGUUGGAAGUGCUUUGGAAACUGCCGGGCUGGAGUGCAGGAGGG